CUAUAAAGCUGCCAUUGCCAUUUUCGCAUCAUAUUCCAAUCCAAGCUCACACAAUUUAUCAGCUCCGGAGAGAAAUAUCUUCUGAAGAAAUUCCAAUUCCUUGCGAUAAUCAUCUUCGUUGAGGUUGGUGUUGUUUGGGGAUUUUGCAGCUUGGUGAUGAUUGCCAUGGAAGAUUCUCGAACCACCGGCAGCAUUAGAGUUUCGUCGUGCCCCCAAACGCGGCAUUUCUACUACUAUACUCCGCCGCCGUCUCCGGCGAAGUUCACCAGGACGCUGGGCCGCUCCAUGCGUACAAUAAGGUCUAACCUCUUCCAGGCCGAACACUCCCCUCCGAUUCCCGAGAAUUCGCCUUUCGUGUCGGAAAAUCUCACCGACUCGGUUAUCGACUUUCGCCUCGGUGAGCUGGCUAGUAAGACGUUGAGUAAUUCGAAGAGCCUGUCUCCGUCUGAUAUCGACGAUGCGCUGGAUUUCUCGUGUGCUUUCAGCGAUUUGUCGGCCUGCUCAAGCGAUGUCUCCGGGGAUCUUCAACGUCUUUCUGCUCUACCUAAUCCUGAAAUAAAGGAAGGUCCGAGCUCAGAGAUCGAGCCUGAACCUGAACCGUGCCCUGGAUUUUUGGAUAGGGAAACGUUUUCGACGGAAAUUAUUGAAAGCAUCUCUCCGGAGGAUCUUCAACCGACUGUGAAACUUUGUGUUGAUGGAUUGCAGUCGUCGUCGAUUGCUUUGAAAAAGUCGGCAGCCGCUAAACUGCGGCUUUUGGCGAAGAAUAGGGCGGAUAAUCGAGCCUUGAUUGGAGAAUCCGGAGCGAUACCGGCUAUUAUUCCGCUCCUCCGUAGCUCCGACCCGGGGACGCAGGAAGAAGCUGUGACGGCUCUGUUCAACAUCUCCCUCCACGAGAGCAACAAGAAGCUAAUUAUGAAUUCAGGUGCAGUGAAAUCCUUAAUUUACGUACUGAAAACAGGAACAGAGACUUCUAAACAAAACGCUGCUUGCGCAUUGCUGAGCUUAGCUUUGAUCGAGGAGAAUAAACUCUCGAUUGGUGCGUCUGGUGCAAUACCUCCUUUGGUAGCAUUACUGAUAAACGGGUCCAACAGAGGCCAAAAGGAUGCGCUCACCACGCUUUACAAGCUGUGCACGGUAAAGUUAAACAAGGAAAGAGCGGUAAACGCAGGGGCUGUGGGACCUUUAGUAGGACUGGUAGGAAAAAAGGGAAUUGGACUGGCAGAGAAAGCGAUGGUCGUGUUGAGUAGCUUGGCUGGGAUUGAGAUGGGACGCGAUGCUAUUAUGGAUGCUGGUGGCAUGAGUGUGUUGAUAGAAGCUGUUGAAAAUGGAAGUGACAAAGGGAAGGAAUUUGCUGUAUUGACAUUGAUGCAAUUGUGUGGGGAAUGUGCUGCUAUAAGGGGAUUGCUUGUGAAGGAAGGGGGUAUUCCUCCGUUGGUUUCUUUGUCGCAGACUGGGACUGUCAAGGCGAGGCAUAAGGCUGCAACACUUCUCGGGUAUUUGAAAGAACCAAUGCCGGAUGUUUCUUCUUCUUCUCAAUAAAGGACAUGGUAGCAUUAAAGUAGAACCAUGGGUAGGGACCUCCCUCAGGGCCUGAUUCUUUGCUGCUAAGUAGAUAACUACCUCACCUUCUGAUACUUCAAAAUGUUAUGCUUAGGUUUGAAGCCCCUCUCCAGCAUCUUCUCCACUUGCUCAAACUGCAUCCCCUUGGUUUCAGGAACCAGGAAGUAUAUGGCCACAAGCCCAAUGAAGGAAAACAGGGCAAAGAGCAGGAAUGUCCCAGCAGAACCAAGUGCCUCAGUCAAUGACAAGAAGGUUAAACUCACUAUCAGAUUGGAACUCCAAUUGGCAACUGCUGCAAUCCCUCCUCCAAUGCCUCUGAACCUCAGUGGAUAUAUCUCUGAAUUCACUAUCCAAGGUGCAGUUCCCAUUCCAGGGGAGUAUGUUAUGAUGUACAGUCCCAUAAGCGCCACUGCCAAAAACCCAAACUUGCUUGGACAACCCUGGCUGAACCACGUCCGAUGCUCAGCUUUGCACAUGCCUUUCACUGCAUUCGUUGCGGCCAGGCAUGCUCCGGGAUGAUACUGAAAGCACAGUCCUUAGAUGCUUUGAGACAGGACAUGCAAUUCCAAGAUGAUGCCUUUGCUGAUUCCAAGUACUGGGGACAAGUGUUGUUCCUCCCAAAGUGGAGGGAUUGGAUGUUGCUGAUUCCCGGUGCAUGAGCGGAGGCUUGAUAAAAUGUCACAGCCAAUGCGAUGAGGCAAGUAAUGAUCCCGAACAUGGAUAUGAUCAUCAGCCUUCGCCUCCCAAACCUGUCGACAAACCCCAUGCUGACAAUUGAGCCAAGGGCGUUCAGACCAGAGGUGAUGAGGGAAAGGGCCAAGGCUGUCUUGUUCGAGGCGAAUCCCGCCAGCUGAACAAUGGUUGGGCUGUAGUACAUGACAGUGUUUAUGCCAACAAACUGCUGAGCAACUUGAACGGUGACUCCCGCAUACAGGCCCCUUCGGACAACAUCAUUUUUCCAAGCAUUCUUUAGCUUUGCUGAUAAAGUAUUGCCAAUGGCUCCUUCCUCAGCCUUCUCAGAUUCAAUGGAGGUUUGUAGAGCCUUCAUUUCGUCGUCCACCUCGUUGGCAGGCCACCUUGGAGACUCGGGAAGCGACAACAUCAAGACGAACUGAACAAUGGAUGGAACUCCAGCUACCCCGAGCAUCCAACGCCAGGAGAUGCUUCCGAGAUAUAAAGUGGCGCCGUCAUGGAUGCCAUCCCAACUCCAAAACCGACUAUUAUUCUUCCAAUGAUUAUCAUCCAAGGACCUACAGAAGCAGCCAUGACCAAUGCUCCGAUGGUGAAUAGAAUAUCAGCCACAAGAAUGGACUUUUUUCGACCAUACUUGUCGUUCAUCCAUCCCCCCAAAGCAGCACCAACAAUAGCUCCUGCUACAGCCAUGCUCACGAUCGUUUCCUGCUCAAAUAAGCCAUGUCUGCCUGUCAACAGACUUGUACUCGUCCCGGAUGUAGAGCAAGGCCCCGGAAAUCACACCUGGUAAAGCAUCACACUUUAAGGUUAGCAUUGCUACAUCCAAAAAUUAUAUGCUUUUAACAGAAUUUUUUGAUCAUUUCCUUUUUCUAAUCUCGUCUGUAAAUUAAAAGACAUAGGAUUAAGUAACCAAUAGCGAUUCACCUCACCUGUGUCGUACCCGAAUAGCAGCCCUCCUAUACCUGCCGAAAAGGCGAGCCUCAUAAUAUAGGGAUUUUUCCAAGUGACACGCCAACAUUCUGUGAAUUCUGUCUUAUCUGCCUUCACAACACCUCCUUCCACCAUCUUCUUCUACCCUCAGUAAUCACCCCUCGAAAACAAUUAAUUUCUACCAUUUAGGAAAAUCUGUUAGCAAUACCACUUUGUAGGAUGAUCAAAAGAUAAUCGAAAUGACAUAUUCAUAUUGAUUAGCGAUGAUCAUUAAUAUAAAACGAAAAAGCACAAUGCAUCGUAAUUUUCCCUCUACAUAUAGGGUUAAUCUGAUGAUUUUGAGAUUGGGGAUUUUAUCAGAUUUAGAGAGUUCUUAUAUAUCAUGAGCAGUUGAAUAAGAAUGAUUAACCGAAACUUAUGAA